rnacentral:rRNA from 1 species
GACCUGCGGAAGGAUCAUUAACGAGUUGAACGGGGUUGUAGCUGGCCUUCACAGGCAUGUGCACACCUCACUCAUCCACUCUACACCUGUGCACUUACUGUGGGUUUCGAGAGGCCGCGCUUGCGUGGUUGAUCGGGCUCACGUCUAUUACAAACUCUUCAGUAUCAGAAUGUGUAUCGCGAUGUAACGCAUCUAUAUACAACUUUCAGCAACGGAUCUCUUGGCUCUCGCAUCGAUGAAGAACGCAGCGAAAUGCGAUAAGUAAUGUGAAUUGCAGAAUUCAGUGAAUCAUCGAAUCUUUGAACGCACCUUGCGCUCCUUGGUAUUCCGAGGAGCAUGCCUGUUUGAGUGUCGUGUAAUUCUCAACCUAUAAAUCCUUGUGGUUUUUAGGCUUGGACUUGGAGGCUUUUGCUGGCUUUACCGUCGGCUCCUCUUAAAUGCAUUAGCUUGAUUCCUUGCGGAUCGGCUCUCAGUGUGAUAAUUAUCUGCGCUGUGACCGUGAAGCGUUUGGCGAGCUUCUAACCGUCUCUUUGAGACAAAACACUUUGACAUCUGACCUCAAAUCAGGUAGGACUACCCGCUGAACUUAAGCAUAUCAAUAAGCGGAGGAAAAGA